rnacentral:rRNA from 1 species
UACGUAUGUCGCAAGCGUUAUCCGGAAUUAUUGGGCGUAAAGCGCGUCUAGGCGGUCUUUUAAGUCUGAUGUUAAAAUGCGGGGCUCAACUCCGUAUUGCGUUGGAAACUGGAAGACUAGAGUAUCAGAGAGGUGGGCGGAACUACAAGUGUAGAGGUGAAAUUCGUUGAUAUCGGGAGGAAUGCCAAAAGCGAAAGCAGCUUACUAUGAAUAUCUUGACAGUGAGAGACGAAAGCUUGGGUAGCAAACGGG